rnacentral:rRNA from 1 species
UUAAGCAAAAAAGAGCGCAGGGUGGAUGCCUUGGCACUAAGAGCCGAAGAAAGACGUGAUAAGCUGCGAAAAGCUGCGGGGAGAUGCAAAUAAUCCUUGAUCCGCAGAUGUCUGAAUGGGGAAACCCGGUACGAAGAACUCGUAUCAUCCAUACGCCAAUCCAUAACGUAUGGAGGGGAACCCGGUGAACUGAAACAUCUAAGUAGCCGGAGGAAGAGAAAGAAACAUCGAUUUCCUUAGUAGCGGCGAGCGAAAGGGAAAGAGCCCAAACCGAGGGUCUACGGACGUUCGGGGUUCGGACUUGCAAAAAUCGAAGUACUUAUAGACGAAGAGGUUUGGAACUUCCUACCAAAGAGGGUAACAGUCCCGUAGUCGAAAUGAGUACAAGAGGGCGAGAAUCCAGAGUACCACAGGACACGAGUAAUCCGGUGGGAAGACGGGGGGCCCACCCCCCAAGGCUAAAUACUACUUGGUGACCGAUAGCGUAUAGUACCGUGAGGGAAAGGUGAAAAGAACCCCGGGAGGGGAGUGAAAGAGUACCUGAAACCCUAUGUUUACAAGCAGUGGGAGCGAGAGCGACCAUGUACUUUUUGUAGAACGGGCCGGCGAGUUACUGUGUGCAGCGAGGUUAAGUUGUUAAGCAACGGAGCCGAAGGGAUACCGAGUCUGAAAAGGGCGUAAAGUUGCAUGCAGUACACCCGAAACCGGGUGACCUAUCCAUGGACAGGAUGAAGCGACGGUAAGACGUCGUGGAGGUCCGAACCACACGUACGUGAAAAGUGCGGGGAUGAGCUGUGGAUAGCGGAGAAAUUCCAAUCGAACUCGGAGAUAGCUGGUUCUCCCCGAAAUAGCUUUAGGGCUAGCCUCGAUUUAGAUUACCGGGGGUAGAGCACUGAAUGGGCUAGGGGGCCACAAAGCUUACCGAACCCUAUCAAACUUCGAAUACCGGAUAAUUGAUGAUCGGGAGUCAGACAGUGUGAGAUAAGUUUCAUUGUCGAAAGGGAAACAGCCCAGAUCUACGACUAAGGUCCCAAAGUUCAAGUUAAGUGGAAAAGGAUGUGCAAUUGCGUAGACAACCAGGAUGUUGGCUUAGUAGCAGCCAUUCAUUCAAAGAGUGCGUAAUAGCUCACUGGUCGAGUGAUUGUGCGCCGAAAAUGUAACGGGGCUAAACUUGACACCGAAGUCUAGGCAGAAGGAAACUUCUGGGUAGGGGAGCAACGUGUACGGGCAGAAGCAGAAGCGGAAGCGACUGUGGACUGUACAGGAGAGAGAAUGCCGGCAUGAGUAGCGAGAGCAAAGUGAGAAUCUUUGCCGUCGAAAGCCUAAGGUUUCCUGAGGAAGGCUCGUCCUCUCAGGGUAAGUCGGGACCUAAGCCGAGGACAAUAGUCGUAGGCGAUGGACAAUCGGUUAAUAUUCCGAUACCGCCGAGCAACCGGAUGCAGUGACACAGAAGGAUAGGCAGAGCGUGGCGAUGGUAGACCACGUCCAAGCAGUGAGGCUGUUGUGUAGUGAAGUACGCACAACGAAAGGCUGGGCUGUGAUGGGGAACGAUUACGAUCGGUAAGCUGCUGAAUUCACGCUGGCGAGAAAAGCUGCUACGAAGCGAAGGCGCCCGUACCGCAAACCGACACAGGUAGGCGAGGAGAGAAUCCUAAGACGAGCGGGAGAACCCUUGUUAAGGAACUCGGCAAAAUGACUCCGUAACUUAGGGAGAAGGAGUGCCCAGGAAUGGGCCGCAGAGAAUAGACCCAAGCGACUGUUUACCAAAAACACAGGUCUGUGCGAAGUAGAGAUACGACGUAUACGGGCUGACACCUGCCCAGUGCCGGAAGGUUAAGGGGAAAUGUUAGGGCAACCGAAGCAUGGAACUUAAGCCCCGGUGAACGGCGGCCGUAACUAUAACGGUCCUAAGGUAGCGAAAUUCCUUGUCGGGUAAG